rnacentral:rRNA from 1 species
GACGUAGGGGGCAAGCGUUGUUCGGAAUUACUGGGUGUAAAGGGUGCGUAGGCGGUGCGGCAAGUUGGGAGUGAAAUCUCUGGGCUUAACCCAGAGGCUGCUUCCAAAACUGCUGUGCUUGAGUGUGGGAGAGGCGCGUGGAAUUGCAGGUGUAGCGGUGAAAUGCGUAGAUAUCUGCAGGAACACCCGUGGCGAAAGCGGCGCGCUGGACCACUACUGACGCUGAGGAACGAAAGCUAGGGGAGCAAACGGG